rnacentral:rRNA from 1 species
GAUGAACGCUAGCGGCAGGCUUAACACAUGCAAGUCGAGGGGUAUAGAAAGCUUGCUUUCUAGAGACCGGCAAACGGGUGCGGAACACGUACACAACCUACCUUUAUCAGGGGGACAGCCUUCGGAAACGGAGAUUAAUACCCCAUAGUAUUAUGGAGUGGCAUCAUUUUAUAAUUAAAGAAUUUCGGAUAGAGAUGGGUGUGCGUAAGAUUAGCUAGUUGGUGAGGUAAAGGCUCACCAAGGCAACGAUCUUUAGCUGAUGUGAGAGCAUGAUCAGCCACACGGGCACUGAGACACGGGCCCGACUCCUACGGGAGGCAGCAGUGAGGAAUAUUGGUCAAUGGACGGAAGUCUGAACCAGCCAUGCCGCGUGAAGGAUGAAGGCGUUCUGCGUUGUAAACUUCUUUUAUUUAGGAAGAAACCACUUUUUUUUAAGAGUGUUGACGGUAUUAAAUGAAUAAGCACCGGCUAACUCCGUGCCAGCAGCCGCUGUAAGAC